AAUCAGGGAGCUUUCCCCAUUUCCAAUGUAGAUUUUGGCUCUCCAAUGCCAGGCAGGAGGCAGGAUGGUCAGGAAACCAAAGGAAAAUAUUGUUUUAUGAAUGGAUUACAGUGUCUCAACCUUGGGACUGAAUAGGCAAGGCCAUCAGGUCCCUGAGUGUUAUGGCUUUGGUCACUGUAUAAUAAGUGACCCAUCAGGUGUGCUUCGUGUUUGAUGAAGUGGAAGGAUGAAAGAUACUUGAUUAAUAUGCUCACAUUAUAUAUAAAGCACCAGAAGCUUCUCAGUUGCAGUAUUUUUUGUCAUAUGACCAUGUCUGGACUCUGUACAGUUGCUCUAUGAAUAAGUUGCUCUAUGAAUGCAGCUAAAUUUUUUCAUCUCAAGUGCAACUUGCAUGUACAUCGCAAAAUAACAGAAGCAGUGCCAAUUGCACAUGUACCUGCAGUUGUGCAUUUGGAUGUGCACUUUGUUGUUUAAUAGCUUGGGCACUUUGUUGUUUAAUUCUGGAAAUAAAAAAGUUAAAGCAUCA